ensembl:miRNA MIR181C microRNA 181c
GCCAAGGGUUUGGGGGAACAUUCAACCUGUCGGUGAGUUUGGGCAGCUCAGGCAAACCAUCGACCGUUGAGUGGACCCCGAGGCCUGGAACUGC